AAAAGUUGAAAUCGCCGGGAUUUGUUCGAUCACAAUUCACACAGCCAAUUGAAUAGCGCGCCUUCUGUGUCUGCAAUGAAAGUAGCGAAAGAGAUCCAGUUAAGGUGUUUACAGUGGUGGAGUAUUGAUGGAUAAGUGAUGCUAUUGUUCCGGAGUAGUAGUUCUUCUUAAUCAGCAGAAACGGAAUCCUCCAUGGAUAUUUCUUUUUCUCUUGGAUUCUAAAUUCUUGUUUUAUUCCUUACUUGAAGUGUGCACUUAUUGAUCGCUUGUGUGCCGCACCUUGCCUGAAGUGUGGUAGGCGCCAUUCUGUUCUUUGCAUUGCCUCAGGACCUGAAUAUUGCCUUUGUUUUCAUUAGAGGCAUGAAAUGCUCAAAGUGUAAUGUUCUUAAAUUUGAUUUGUCCUAGCUCCUAUAUUUAACAAACUAUAUGUUGUAUUUUGUUUGACAGAUAUAAUAGGUGUUAUACAUCAAAUUAUAUGCA